rnacentral:lncRNA from 1 species
CUGCACACUCCUCCUCUCUACCCACCCCCAUUAGCUCCUGCCUCGGUUUCUCCUCAAGCACCCUAAAGCCCCAGAUCUACCUGCCCAGCCUGUCCCUGGGGGUCAGCCUCGCAGCUUCUGUCUUGCAGCAGCUCCCCAAGUUCUGAGUUCUCCAGGCUGGGAACCCGGGGACCUGCUGAGACCACCUCCCUGGAGCCUCUGCUUCCCCAUCAAAGAGGGGCGAUUUUUUCAGACCUGCCUCUCAUUUCCAGGGGCACCGUUGAGGGCCACAAACAAUGCACACGAUGGUGCCUCACUGUGCUUGGCUGGGUGGGACCAAGACGCCCUUCCCGAGGUCAGUCAAACUCUGCAGCCAGCUCCCAUGGUUUCUGGGGUCUGCGCUGCCCCCACCUGUGUAGAUACAGACUUUCCUCCCUGCAGACAGUCUCCCUGUGGCAUUUCAGUGGUGCGCUGGGGUGCAGAGCUGGGGAGCAGGGCUGGGGCGCAGAGCAGGGGAGCAGAGCUGGGGCACAGAGCAGGGGAGCAGGGCUGGGGAGCAGCGCUGGGGUGCAGGGCUGGGGCGCAAGGCUGAGUGCAGAGCUGGGGAGCAGGGCUGGGGAGCAGCGCUGGGGUGCAGGGCUGGGGAGCAAGGCUGAGUGCAGAGCUGGGGAGAAGGGCUGGGGAGCAGCGCUGGGGUGCAGGCCUGGGGAACAAGGCUGAGUGCAGAGCAGGGGAGCAGGGCCGGGGAGCAGCACUGGGGUGCAGGGCUGGGGAGCAAGGCUGAGUGCAGAGCUGGGGAGCAGGGCUGGGGAGCAGGGCUGGGGAGCAGGGUUGGGCGCAGGGCGGGGGCCCAGAGCAGGGAGCAGGGCUGGGAGCAGGGCUGGGGAACAAGGCUAGGGAGCAAGGCUGGGUGCAGGGCUGGGGAGCAGGGCUGGGGAGCAGCUCGGCCCUUGUAGGUUCCUCCCUGAGUGUGUUCAUCAUGGGGAGGCCCAGAGGGCAGGCAAUGGGGGGGGCCAGGCUCUGCCCUUGGCUUUCUGUCGAAGGUAUGCCGGUCCUUUCUGUGCCUCAGUUUACCUGUAUAGGAUGGGCUUUUUCUGCCAAGACCACCCGAUGGAGAGACUGGCCACAGGUUGCUGGAGGUGACUAAGGGUGGCCAAAGGGGGACUGGAGAGUUACUAAGAAAAGCAUAGUGUUCACCCUACUUGGGCCCCUUGGCCCCCACCCAGGAGCCCCCAUUGCUGGGGCUGACGCCCG